UGCAUCGAUGAAUUGAUUCAAGAAUAGAUUUUUGUGUAUUUGGUAUUGGGUACCUCUUUGCAUGAUCUGGAAGUUUGGGAUAAACAAACUUUUGGAGCGAUGAAUGUAUCAGUAUAAAAAUAUCCAUAGGAGAUGCCUAAAAAGAUCCGAAGGUUCACCUCGAUAAUUAAGAAUCCUAUUUAAUAUGUCCGAGACAAUGGGAGAAGGUAUUUUUGAUACAUAAUUUCUCAAGGCAUGGGCUUUGGGCAGUUGGUUUGUAGAAAGAGCGGAGCAUUCUGAGCAUGAAGGAUCUUUUAUUAUAUCGGAAUUCUUUCUGAUUAAAGCUUCUAAGACGAUGCUUGCCAAAUGUUGGAGUUUUAAUGGAGGACAAAGUUGUUCAUUCGAAUCACCUAAAAAUAAAUUAAUUUAAAAAAAUGCAUCACAGGUUCUGGUUAAACAUACAACAAAACAACAUUCUGGUUUAUAAUUUUUUUACAGCAUUACGUAAAUACUAUCAUCCUCUUCAAAACUAACUGUGAAGUAUGCAUUAUACAUAUUUGUUUGAUCAAUAAUUAUUGAAAAUAUGUUAAAUUACUUUAAAAUGCAAGAUAUUUAUAUUAAUAAUCAUAUAGACCAAAACUGAGGUACAUGUUAGCCAAACAGAUGCUUUAGCUUUUUAAAUUUUUCAUUUUACUUUUUCGGAGGCCAAAUACAUAAAAAAUGACUAUA
rnacentral:lncRNA from 1 species